rnacentral:rRNA from 1 species
UACCAGCUCGCCGAGUGGUGGGGAUGCUUAUUGGGCCUAAAGCAUUCGUAGCCUGCUUGACAAGUCCUCCGUUAAAUCCAACGAUUCAAUCGUUGGGCUGCGGGGGAUACUGUCCGGCUAGGGGGCGGGAGAGGCCGACGGUAUCCUCGGGGUAGGGGUGAAAUCCUAUAAUCCCGGGAGGACCACCAGUGGCGAAGGCUGUCGGCUAGAACGCGCUCGACGGUGAGGGAUGAAAGCUGGGGGAGCGAACCGGAUUAGAUACCCGGGUAGUCCCAGCUGUAAACGAUGCAGGCUAGGUGUUGGCGCGGCUACGUGCCGCUCCAGUGCCGCAGGGAGGCCGUUAAGCCUGCCGCCUGGGAAGUACGGCCGCAAGGCUUAAACUUAAGGAAUUGGCGGGGGAGCACCACAAGGUGUGAAGCUUGCGGUUU